GACGAACGCUGGCGGCGUGCCUAAUACAUGCAAGUAGAACGCACAGUUUAUACCGUAGCUUGCUCCACAAUAAACUGUGAGUUGCGAACGGGUGAGUAACGCGUAGGUAACCUGCCUGGUAGCGGGGGAUAACUAUUGGAAACGAUAGCUAAUACCGCAUAAUAUUGAUUAUUGCAUGAUAAUUGAUUGAAAGAUGCUAUUGCAUCACUACCAGAUGGACCUGCGUUGUAUUAGCUAGUAGGUGAGGUAACGGCUCACCUAGGCGACGAUACAUAGCCGACCUGAGAGGGUGAUCGGCCACACUGGGACUGAGACACGGCCCAGACUCCUACGGGAGGCAGCAGUAGGGAAUCUUCGGCAAUGGACGAAAGUCUGACCGAGCAACGCCGCGUGAGUGAAGAAGGUUUUCGGAUCGUAAAGCUCUGUUGUAAGAGAAGAACGGGUGUGAGAGUGGAAAGUUCACACUGUGACGGUAUCUUACCAGAAAGGGACGGCUAACUACGUG
rnacentral:rRNA from 1 species